GCUUAACCGGAGAAGUGCAUCGGAAACUGGGAGACUUGAGUGCAGAAGAGGACAGUGGAACUCCAUGUGUAGCGGUGGAAUGCGUAGAUAUAUGGAAGAACACCAGUGGCGAAGGCGGCUGUCUAGUCUGUAACUGACGCUGAGGCUCGAAAGCAUGGGUAGCAAACAGGAUUAGAUACCCUGGUAGUCCAUGCCGUAAACGAAGAGUGCUAGGUGUUGGAGGGUUUCCGCCCUUCAGUGCCGCAGCUAACGCAUUAAGCACUCCGCCUGGGGAGUACGACCGCAAGGUUGAAACUCAAAGGAAUUGACGGGGGCCCGCACAAGCGGUGGAGCAUGUGGUUUAAUUCGAAGCUACGCGAAGAACCUUACCAGGUCUUGACAUCUUCUGCCAAUCUUAGAGAUAAGACGUUCCCUUCGGGGACAGAAUGACAGGUGGUGCAUGGUUGUCGUCAGCUCGUGUCGUGAGAUGUUGGGUUAAGUCCCGCAACGAGCGCAACCCUUAUUAUCAGUUGCCAGCAUUAAGUUGGGCACUCUGGUGAGACUGCCGGUGACAAACCGGAGGAAGGUGGGGAUGACGUCAAAUCAUCAUGCCCCUUAUGACCUGGGCUACACACGUGCUACAAUGGACGGUACAACG
rnacentral:rRNA from 1 species